GACGAACGCUGGCGGCGUGCUUAACACAUGCAAGUCGAACGGAAAGGCCCUGCUUUUGUGGGGUGCUCGAGUGGCGAACGGGUGAGUAACACGUGAGUAACCUGCCCUUGACUUUGGGAUAACUUCAGGAAACUGGGGCUAAUACCGGAUAGGAGCUCCUGCUGCAUGGUGGGGGUUGGAAAGUUUCGGCGGUUGGGGAUGGACUCGCGGCUUAUCAGCUUGUUGGUGGGGUAGUGGCUUACCAAGGCUUUGACGGGUAGCCGGCCUGGGAGGGUGACCGGCCACAUUGGGACUGCGAUACGGCCCAGACUCCUACGGGAGGCAGCGGUGGGGAAUAUUGCACAGUGGGCGGAAGCCGGAUGCAGCAACGCCGCGUGCGGGAUGACGGCCUGCGGGUUGUAAACCGCUUUCGCCUGUGACGAAGCGUGAGUGACGGUAAUGGGUAAAGAAGCACCGGCUAACUACGUG
rnacentral:rRNA from 1 species